AGUGAACGCUGGCGGUAGGCCUAACACAUGCAAGUCGAACGGCAGCACAGUAAGAGCUUGCUCUUACGGGUGGCGAGUGGCGGACGGGUGAGGAAUACAUCGGAAUCUACUUUUUCGUGGGGGAUAACGUAGGGAAACUUACGCUAAUACCGCAUACGACCUACGGGUGAAAGCAGGGGAUCUUCGGACCUUGCGCGAUUGAAUGAGCCGAUGUCGGAUUAGCUAGUUGGCGGGGUAAAGGCCCACCAAGGCGACGAUCCGUAGCUGGUCUGAGAGGAUGAUCAGCCACACUGGAACUGAGACACGGUCCAGACUCCUACGGGAGGCAGCAGUGGGGAAUAUUGGACAAUGGGCGCAAGCCUGAUCCAGCCAUACCGCGUGGGUGAAGAAGGCCUUCGGGUUGUAAAGCCCUUUUGUUGGGAAAGAAAAGCAGCAGGUUAAUACCCCGCUGUUCUGACGGUACCCAAAGAAUUAGCACCGGCUAACUUCGUG
rnacentral:rRNA from 1 species